GAAAUGCGAUAAGUAGUGUGAAUUGCAGAAUUCCGUGAAUCAUCGAAUCUUUGAACGCACAUUGCGCCCUUUGGUAUUCCUUAGGGCAUGCCUGUUCGAGCGUCAUUCAAACCCUCAAGCUCUGCUUGGUGUUGGGCGCCUGUCCCGCCGCUGGCGCGGACUCGCCUCGAAGACAUUGGCGGUGGUUGUACCGAUCGGAAGCGCAGCAGAGACGCGCCACUCCCGGUUCGGUGCCCUCCUCCAGGAAGCCAUACCCACGUCUUGACCUCGGAUCAGGUAGGGAUACCCGCUGAACUUAA
rnacentral:misc_RNA from 1 species